rnacentral:lncRNA from 1 species
UAUGAUAUGGCGAGAGUUUAAUCUGUCCUUCCUGGAGGAGAAGGUCGAAGAUCUUAUCGGCCUUAGUUGUGUCAAAGCCGAACACUUCCGGUUCCUUUUUGCCGAAAGGGCAUGAUAUCGGCUUCUUUCCCUUGAUCCACUCCGCAAGUCCGACUUCAACGUCUUCUUCGUCCUCUAAUUCUUCCAGGAACGCCACUUUCUUCUGGAAAUUCCUCCGUGGAUCGAAGGCACGUACCUCCUGUCCAGACAAUCGGUGGACAAUCUGGCUCAAACUCUCG